CCUGAACUUUAAAAGUGAAAGUAGCUGCUAAUGUGCAUUGGGCCCUGCUGCUUGGUUUAAGGGAGCAACUGAGAUCCCAGCACCCUGCUCGUGAAAACUCAGGGGAGUGAGGUUAUUCUGGCGUGUUAAAUCCCAGUUGCUCAGAAGGUGAGAGACGGAGGGGGAUCAGGCCGGGAGCUCAGCCAGAAACAGGAGAGGGAUUGUGGCUGGAGAAGAGGAAGCAGAGCAACUGGGCCGUUCAAGUGUCGCAGGGCAGAGAGCAGCUGGAGGCUUGUGCUGGAAGCGGGGAAGCCGCUUCCCAGCAGAGAGGCAGCAGUUAUCCCCCCGAGCUGAGAGCUGCGGCAGGAAAGCGACCAGGCCGGGCAGGGGGCUGCAGCCCCAGCCAGGCCACCCCGGGAGAGGCUCGCCAUGGCCUCUGAGGCGGGGGAGCGCGCCGAGGAGCUUCCCCCCGACGGCACGUGCGAUGUCUGCGAGCCCGAUGAAGCCAAGAGCGCGGUGGGGGUGUGCGAGGAGUGCGGCUUCUCCUUCUGCCAGCCCCACGCCGAGGAGCACGGCCAGAAGUUCGCGGCCCACCGCCUGCGGGGCCCCGCCUCGGGCGGCGAGGAGCUGGAGGAAGAGGCGCCCAAGCUGGAGCGGAAGAAGUGCGAGGAGCACGGGCAGGAGCUGAGCCUGUACUGCAAGGAGCACGAGAAGAUCAUCUGCGUGCUGUGCGCCGUCACCGGCAACCACCGGCAGCACCAGCUCAUCACCCUGGAUGAAGCCUACCAGGCCAUGAGGAAUAGAGAACCCGUUGACCUGAAGGUGGCCAUGCUGGAGAUGGUGGAAAGGUUAAAGUUCAAGUGUGCAGACCCUAAAGUGACUCGGAGUGAGAUGAAACUGUGUGUUCAGCAGGAGUUUGACACUGUACGGCGGCUGGUCUGUGAGGAGGAACGGAAAGCUCUCCACCUAGUGGACCUCCAGGAAGCGGUGGCCACUGCUCAUGUGACAGAGGUGCUGGCGGAAAUCAACGUCCACAUGGCAAAGCUGAUGACUGAGAUGGCAGAGAUCAGAAGGCAGCUGAACACCUUCAAUGAGUUAGCCCUGCUCAAGCCUGAGAGCAACGAUGAGGAACGCAGAUUAUGUCAUGUGAUGAAACCUCCAGGAAUAUCUCCAACCAAAACUGGCAAUCGACCAUCAGCCAAACAGGAGCUGAUCCUUUCCCUCCUGCCUCUUCUUCCCAAGGAAACGGGCGAUAUGAUGACAAGGACCCAUCGUCGGCUAACGGGCCCUGCUGAGACAAGACGGGUUUGGCUGCAGUGGAGACAUUACAGGAACCCAUCUGAAGAGCAGAGCGCCACUUGUGGGAGCUCCAGAGGAACUCUGCUCCCAUCAGUGUAGUUUGAAAGAUGUGGACUACAAGAGUGAUGGCAUGUGAACUAAGGAAAGGAAAGAAAAGAAAUGACUCACUAGAUCAGACCAAAUAUCCACCUAGUCCCCUCUCCCGACAGCAGAAGGAUCCUCUCCACACAGACUCCAUGUGAUGCUGAGCAUGCAAGAAGAGGGUCUUAAGUCACACAACUGCAGCAGAAGCAGCAGCAACCGUUUCCUCCCUUUACUUUGCUGUGUCUUUGGUUCUCCUAGAUAAAAAUAUGAUCCUUCCACGCACCUGUCCUUUGGGAACACACUUACUGUCACGCCUAGCGACAUAUUUCCCGAGCCGCCUUUUCUUAGGAGGACAAAUAUCCUGCAAAGAUAUGACACUGGGGAACCAGUAAUUAAAAUGAAGAAUGCAGUACAGUAGAAAGUAGAAAUAUGAGUCUAAAAGCCACACUGGAGUUUUUACUGAUGGGGGUUAUUGAGGACUUCAGUUUAAUAAUUCAGUGCAGCUAAGAUUAAUAAAUGAUAUGAGGUGGAAAUGGUCUUUCAAGAAGAAGGAUUGGAGUGGUAUGUUAACAGUUUAAUUUAGUGUGUUCUGAAAAAUGCUGCAUGAAACCCUGUAUAAUAACUGAGCACAGUCCUAAGAUUUCAGAGCCUUUGUAGGGGGGGAGAAUGUGUAUCAUGAAUGAUAUUUAUGCCUCAUGAGUGAGGCUGUCUGAGCACAGGCUAGAGAGUCAGGGAUCCCAGCUCUGACACUGGCUUCCCGUUGGGCUUCCAGCAAGUCUCUUCAUCUCUCUAUCUCAGUCUCUCCACCUGGAGCAUGGCAUUGGCUUUCAUUUUCCAGGACCAAGGGCUGCCACAGGGAACUCCCAUAAAGCGCUCAUCUUCAGGUUUCCCACUUGUAGCAAAUCACAGCCCCUGAGCACUUGAUAUAUUGUCAUUCCCUUCCACCCUUUCUACCCUCUUUGCUCCAUCUGUCUGUAAUGUCAAUGAAUUCCAGCCCUGCUUAAUGAAAGGGCUUCAGGAGACAUAGAUAGAGGUCUAUGCAGCUUAGAGGCUCAUCCUGCCAUCACAUACUACAGGUCAUUGGCCCAGAUCUACAAAGGGACUUAGGUGCCUAAAUACUUAAGCAUUAGGCCAGGGGUUUGGGGGGAACAGUCGCCUGGUGGAUACGGUAUCCAGCAGGGAGAUGGGAGACCCAGAAUCUAGUCCCCCUGCUCCAGUGAACUUUUAACUUAUACAAAGUGGAACAGGUUCAACAGGAGAGAUUACAAGAGCCCCUUCCCUCCCCAUUAGACUAUUCCAUAGCUCAGUGGUUAGAGCACUCUCCCGAGAAGUGGUUGUCCAUGUUCAAAUCUUUUCACCCCCACAGGCCAAGGAAGAAAUUGAACCUGUCUCCCCCACAUCCCAGGUGAGUGCUCUAACCAUUGAGCUAAAAGUUAUAAGGGAGCUACAUCCUUUGGGAACAAUGAAACUGUCAUCCAGUAUGGGGAGGCUCGUGAGAAGAGUGAAGAGAUCCUUCUGAGGAGCUGUGAGCUCACUCCUGUGAAAGAUAAGAAUACCUACUAACCAUGCCUCAUUCACGUCCCUGAUUCAUCGAGGUACUUUUAAGCAGUGAGCGGUCCCUUGACUUCCUCCUCCUCCUCCUCCAUGUUCUCCCAUUCCUCACUCCAGAUGACUCUUGGCCAGUGUUAAAUUGAUUAGUUGAUUACCUUGCUACUGUAGAGAAGAUUUGGGGAAAAUCUUAUUUCCUGGCCAUGCUUCAGAUCUUUGUAUAUAUUACAGCCAUAUUGCUGGGGUACAAGUGGUCUAAUGAAUUUACUGUCAGGGAUGUGGGAUGUCAGAGUGUGCAUGCACAUGUUACCCUGGCCGUCUCAAACGUGCACAUAUAUUCUCCAGGUACCUCUUGCGCUAUCAUACAUUUAGUUUAUGCCACUCAGUUUGUUUAGUUUUGACUUAAAAACAAACAAACCAAAAAAACUUCUGCUUUCAUUUUUCUAUUUUUUUCCAUUUUUUCCAUUAAUUUCAUUAAUUAUUAUUGAAGAACUGGGCCAAGUUCACUCUGAUGUAAGCCCAUCCAAUUCCAUUGAAGCCAGUGGAGUAAUCCUGCUUACAGUAGUGGUGAAUUGGGCUCCGUGAGUUCAAUGGUAUAGAUGGAAUUUAGUGACUUCCUAAGGUGCCGUAUAAUGUAUCAGUUUCUAGAAUAGCUUGAAAUUGAAUAUCAAGGUUUGGGAAACACCUUGGGUUACUCAUAGGUACACAAAUAGCAACAUCAGUGGAACCAGGCAUGUGAAUAAGGGAAGCAAAUGUGGCCCUGAAUCUCUAAACAACAGGCUCCACCCACUAAACAGGAUUGUCACAAAUCUCAGAAGUUGCACAGGAUUGUUUUUAUUUAAUUUUUUUUUUUUAAACAGCUCCCGGUGGGAGGUUGUUUUUUUCUCCUCAGCAGCACAGGGUUUUGCAGGCUACACCAUUUAGAUAGAUUUCAAGGGAAACCGAUAUUUUAGUCACUGAGUGAAACAUUUUUACUUCCUAAAAUUAAAAAAAAAAAAUCACAAUUUGCAUAAAAAUAAAGACCAUCAUUCAGAAACCUGUUAUACGAAACUCAAUAAUCCAGACAGAAAGAGGUACUGCAGUAUAUUUUUGGAAAGGUUUCUGGUCUCUUUUGCAGUCUCAUGCUGUCUAGGACACCUGGUAAAAACUUGAAGCAGGGAGAGCAUUAAAUACAGAGCAAUGGCUUGUACAGAAUGACCCGUGAUUUGUUUUAUACAUUUGAUCAAUUUAAAUCCUGUGAUAUUUCCCAUGAUUGCUCCAGCAGCUUUCCAUAAACUACACAGUGCCAUGUUAGUCCUUCAGCAUAAGAAUUACAUUGUUCCCAUAUUAUUCUUAAACCAUACUGUGUAAGGGCAGAUGUAUUAUUCAGAUUGGAUUGAAUUAUGUUUUGAUUUGACACGUGCUGCAGUACUCACAGAAAUACCAAGUAAGCCUUUAUCAGGGGAGCAGGUAAUAGCUUCUGUAAUGAAUCAGGAGCUGAAUAAGGGUGACUGGUUGCUAUCCAAACAGAAGCAAAAGUUCCUAUUUAGCAUGGCUCAUUAAAAUGAUGGUGCACCCAAGUGGGUAAUAGCAGCAGCAGAAGAGAUAUCCUGUAAGUAUCAGGGCAUUGAUACAACUACACUGGGAGGAAAUAGCUGAAAUGACAUUUAAUUCCCACUGCUUUGCUCCCUAAACUCCCUGUGUUUUAAACGAAUGCCUUUGCCACUGGGUUGCAAAGAUGGACAAAUCAAAGUACUUUGUGGACAUUAAUUAAUCCUCAUAACCUCCCUGUGAGAUAAAUGAUUCUUAUCCGUAUUUGACAGGUCAGGAAACUGAAGCAUUAAACAGCUAAGUGACUUGGCCAAGGUCCCUCAGUGACAAAGCAGGGAAUAAAACCCAAAGCUCCUGAUUCCGUCUCAUUUUCUAACUACUACCCAACAAGAUCCUUCUUGUGUGAUUCUCUUUCCUGCUGUUCGCGUUAAUAGGAAUCUUGCUGUAUCCUGCCCUGAAUGGGUAGUAGUUAAUGUUUGAUGUAGUGUUUAGAAAAAACACACAGCAUCUAGGCCAAAGGAUUAAAAAUAUGAAACUCAUGGACAUACUGGAAACUCAGCUGCUGUUACUAUGAAGCACUCUUGACCCUCCAGAUGGUGCUGUAUAUUUUUACAUAGACAUAAGUCUUCUCCAUACUCUUGUACCAUUGAAGCCUUAAAUAUAGUUGCAGGUAUUUUUCUCCAACCAAGGAAAGCCUGGCUCCUAUUUUUGCUGAAAUGCAUAAAGCUGAAAGACACUCCUAUCAGUAAGGCUACUUAUAUAAAAUUCCCUUUGCUGCAGUUCCUGCAACAGAAACAUUGUAUUAUAAUGGAGAUUUCAACUCCUGUGUUGCACAGCUCUUGGGCAAAUUUGUCUUCCUCAUUUAGCUUUGGGUCCCAUGAAGGAGGAUGAUGGGAAUGCCAAUUAAUCUCCAUAAAAGCCACAAAUCAAGCCCUGUCAUAACUAAAGAGCGCUCAAUGUGGUGUCAUCAUUACUUACCUCUGGGUGAACAUGAGAAGCAGGGCGCUCAAUCUGGGCCUAAUUGCAAGUGUCACAAAUUACUUGUAGUUGAGAGAUUGGCUCAUUAGUUGAGAGCCUUUUGCACUGGGAGGCCCAGAAAUUCUGAUGCAAUGUGGCACUGCAGGAAUGGAGUGGGAAGAAAACAUGCUUCUGAAUCAGCAGAAAUCACAAACAUUAGGACCUCUCUUCAUGUCUCGCUGUGCCACUCUGAUGGUUAGCUAAAAGAGAAGAGGAUUCCCUGGGUAGAGCCUUCUCUACUACAGUCCAGAUUCCACAAUCUAUCUUUAUUUAGGCCCUGAUUCUGCAAAGCUCUUCAGCAUGUACUUGAGGUUAAGCACAGGCUUAAGUCCCAUUGAAGCUAAUCAUGUAUUUAAGUGCUUUAUGUAGAAACUACCACUGAUUAAUAACUGCUCUUGUUCAGUUGCCAAAUGUUCAUCACACAAGCCACAAGGGAAAGCUAUUACAUAUGACUGCCUCUGGGCUUAUUGAAAAUUAAUACAGUUUGCAGUUUCUCCAUGAAAAAUGGCAUGGCUAUUUUUUUUUCCCUUUCCAGAUCUUUGAUCAGUCAAAUCGGUUUCCAUGCAUUUACUUUUGAGGAGGAGGCAUGCUUUGAGUAUGCACCUGGAAGUCAGGAAUUUGAGUUCUAAUUCCAACUUUGGCUUUAGGCACAGCAUGUAACACUCUGUGCCUCAGUUUCCAAAUCUGUAAAAUGGGGUUAAUGAUACAAGGGUGUGGUGAGGAUUAACUAAAUUCUGUUCAAGUCCUUUCAAGAGGGAUAACUACUGUAUGUAAAUAUUUGGUUUGCUUUUUGCUACCUAAGUCUUUUCCUUUCUUCAGUCUCUUUAGACGAAAAUCAUACAUGCCACAGGCUCCACAGAGUGAAGCUAAUUUUUUCAUAAUAUUAUUGUUUUAAAAUCCUAAAUUAUGCCCAGUGGCUGUUAUUUUAAUAUAGUCCCAGGUUAAUUGGACUGGAACCAUAUGUAUAUUUGGCAACAAAGUAUAACUAAAAUGUUCUCUCUUUAGUUAUUGAGAAAAUAAUCUGCUGAAUGCAAAGAGUCAUAACUAUGGUCCCUGUCCUACAAUCAGUUCUGUACAGGUGGACCUCAGUUCCCAUGCUGACCCCUUUUGAUGCCAGUUGAUUUACAUGCACAAGCAGGGAUCCACACUACUUGAUCCAUUUGCAGGACUGGGCUCAAAUCGUGAAGUCCGGCCUUGCUUUUCUCAGUCCUUUUUCAGGCAAACAUUAUCAAAGGGGACUUGCCUGAAGCAAGACUACAUUUGUGGGUGAGGACUUCAGGACUUUGAACUUUGGUGAGGGCAGAUAGGUGCCUCAAUGGGAAUUAAGUACCUAGGUGCUUUUGAAAUUCCCACUAGGCACCGAAGUGCGCCUUUAUGUACCUAAAUGCCUUUAAAAAUCUGGCCCCUAUGCAACUCACAUAUACAGUGUUCAUUGGGGGGGAAAAAGAGAAUUACAUCCACACACAGGGUCGAAAGGGACCUAUCUGCAUCUUUAGGCACUUGGGCACCUAACUCCUGUUGGUUUCAGUAGGCAUUAGGAACCUAAAUACCCUUCAGGAUCUGUGUCUUAGGGUAUGUCUACACUACAAAAUUAGGUCAAAUUUAUAGAAGUCUGUUUUCUAGAAAGCGUUCUUAUAUAGUUGAUUGUGUGUGUCCCCACACAAAUGCUCUAAGUGCAUGUAGUCGGCGGAGUGUAUCCACAGUACCGAGGCAACCAUCAACUUCCGGAGCGUUGUACUGUGGGUAGCUAUCGAACAGUUCCUGCAGUCUCCGCCGCCCAUUUGAAUUCUGGGUAGAAAUCCCAGUGCCUGAUGGGGCUAAAACAUUGUCGCGGGUGGUUCUGGUUACAUAUCGUCAGGCCCCCGUUCCUUCCCUCCCUCCCUCCGUGAAAGCAAGGGCAGAUAAUCGUUUUGUGCCUUUUUUCUUGAGUUACCUGUGCAGACGCCAUACCACAGCAAGCAUGGAUCCCGCUCAGCUAACCGUCACUGUAUGUCUCCUGGGUGCUGGCAGACGUGGUACUGCAUUGCUACACAGCAGCAGUUUAUUGACAGCAGACAGUGCAGUAUGACUGGUAGUCAUCAUUGACGUAGUCCUGGGUGCUCUUUUAACCGGGCACCUAGGCAAACAUGGGAGUGACUCAGCCAGGUCAUUUCCCUUGUUUCGGCUCAUGGCGAUUGAGUCCUACCGGCAGUGCACUGUCUUAAUCAGCAGCCAGCAGAAGAUGAUGGCCAGUAGUCAUACUGCACCGUCUUCUGCCGAGCACCCAGGAGAUGAUGACGGCUAGCGGUCGUACUGCACAGUCUGCUGCCAGCAAGAUGUAUAAAGAUAGAUGGAGUGGCUCAAAAGAAGAAAUAGACCAGAUUUGUUUUGUAUUCAUUUUCUCCUCCCUCCCUCCCUCUGUGAAAUCAACGGCCUGCUAAACCCAGUUUUGAAUUCUAUCCUUGAGAUUUUGAGUUCUGUCCUUGAGGGGGCCAUUCAGUUUCUCGCAAAGCCACCCCUUUGUUGAUUUUAAUUCCCUGUAAGCCAAUCCUGUAAGCCAUGUCGUCAGUCGCCCCUCCCUCCGUCAGGGCAAUGGCAGACAAUCGUUCCAUGCUUUUUUUCUGUGCAGACGCCAUACCAUGGCAAGCAUGGAGCCUGCUCAGAUCACUUUGGCAAUUAGGAGCACAUUAAACACCACACGCAUUAUCCAGCAGUAUAUGCAGCACCAGAAUCUGGCAAAGCGAUACCAGGCGAGUAGGCAACAUCAGCACAGUGACGAGAGUGAUGAGGACAUGAACACAGACUUCUCUCAAAGCACGGGCCCUGGUAACGUGGGCAUCAUGGUGCUAAUGGGGCAGGCUCAUGUGGUGGAACGCUGAUUCUGGGCCUGAGAAAUAGGCACAGACUGGUGGGACCGCACAGUAUUGCAGGUCUGGGACGAUUCCCAGUGGCUGCGAAACUUUCACAUGCGUAAGGGCACUUUCAUGGAACUUUGUGACUUGCUUUCCCCUGCCCUGAAGUGCAUGAAUACCAAGAUGAGAGCAGCCCUCACAGUUGAGAAGCAAGUGGCAAUAGCCCUGUGGAAGCUUGCAACGCCAAACAGCUACCGGUCAGUCGGGAAUCAGUUUGGAACGGGCAAAUCUACUGUGGGGGCUGCUGUGAUGCAAGUAGCCAACGCAAUCAAAGAUCUGCUGAUAUCAAGGGUAGUGACCCUGGGAAAUGUGCAGGUCAUAGUGGAUGGCUUUGCUGCAAUGGGAUUCCCUAACUGUGGUGGGGCCAUAGACGGAACCCAUAUCCCUGUCUUGGCACCGGAGCACCAAGCCAGCGAGUACAUAAACCGCAAGGGGUACUUUUCAAUAGUGCUGCAAGCACUGGUGGAUCACAAGGGACGUUUCACCAACAUCAACGUGGGAUGGCCGGGAAAGGUACAUGACGCUCGCAUCUUCAGGAACUCUGGUCUGUUUCAAAAACUGCAGGAAGGGGCUUUCUUCCCAGACCAGAAAAUAACCAUUGGGGAUGUUGAAAUGCCUAUAGUUAUUCUUGGGAACCCAGCCUACCCCUUAAUGCCAUGGCUCAUGAAGCCGUACACAGGCAGCCUGGACAGUAGUCAGGAGCUGUUCAACUACAGGCUGAGCAAGAGCAGAAUGGUGGUAGAAUGUGCAUUUGGAUGUUUAAAAGUGUGCUGGCGCAGUUUACUGACUCGGUCAGACCUCAGCGAAACCAAUAUUCCCACUGUUAUUACUGCUUGCUGUGUGCUCCACAAUAUCUGUGAGAGUAAGGGGGAGACGUUUAUGGCGGGGUGGGAGGUUGAGGCAAAUCGCCUGGCUGCUGGUUACGCACAGCCAGACACCAGGGCGGUUAGAAGAGCACAGGAGGGCGUGGUACGCAUCAGAGAAGCUUUGAAAACCAGUUUCAUGACUGACCAGGCUAGGGUGUGAAAGUUCUGUUUGUUUCUCCUUGAUGAAACCCUCCGCCCCUUGGUUCACUCUACUUUCCUGUAAGCUAACCACCCUCCCCUCCUCCCUUCGAUCACUGCUUGCAGAGGCAAUAAAGUCAUUGUUGCUUCACA